UACGCGAAUUUGGACGUGCUUUGCGCUGAAACGGCGGCGUGCGCGCUUUCAACAGUGAAUUUCAAUUUCAUUACAAAUAGUUACAGCAUUUCUACCGACUUCUUUAAGCAAAUACUAAUGGAGCAAAAAAAUAUUUUUCAUUUGCGCAUUUGAGUUUCGCGACUUUCAAUUUCAAUUAACGGUAGUGUUGUUCGGUUGCACAUUUUCAGUGAAAUUUAAGUGAUUCUUAAGGGCGUAUUAAGAAAUAUGAAAUAGACACUCGCGCAAAUGGCAGCUCUGGCGUAUGUGGGGCCCGUAGCCCCACGGCGGCACACACAGAAAUAGCAAUGAAGUCGACAACCCUGCACCUGCCUUCACCCCCUCAUAACGGUAUUUGUGGAGAAGCCAAAAGAAAGGUCAUGCCGAAAACUUUAACGCAUCUGGUUAACCUCAUGAAUCCGCUAAAAACGCAAUAGAUACGAAAGAAAUCGAAUAAAAAAAAGAGCGAGUGAAGCGAGUGCAUAAAGUGGAAAGAUAGCAACGGUAACGGUGGUUGUCGCAACAACAACGGCGCGCAUCGGCAGUCUCGCAAAUAUGUCAAAACUUA
rnacentral:lncRNA from 1 species